rnacentral:rRNA from 1 species
AUUGAACGCUGGCGGCAGGCCUCACACAUGCAAGUCGAACGAGUGGCGGACGGGUGAGUAAUGUCUGGGAAACUGCCCGAUGGCGGGGGAUAACUACUGGAAACGGUCGAUAAUACCGCAUACCCUCGGAUGUGCCCAGAUGGGAUUAGCUAUUAGGGGGGGUAACGGCUCACCUAGGCGACGAUCCCUAGCUGGUCUGAGAGGAUGACCAGCCAAACUGGAACUGAGACACGGGCCAGACUCCUACGGGAGGCAGCAGUGGGGAAUAUUGCACAAUGGGCGCAAGCCUGAUGCAGCCAUGCCGCGUGUAUGAAGAAGGCCUUCGGGUUGGAAAGUACUUUCAGCGAGGAGGCGUUACUCGCAGAAGAAGCACCGGCUAACUCCGUGCCAGCCGCCGCGGUAAUAC